CAGAGGGAAGCAAGACCGCGAGGUGGAGCAAAUCCCUAAAAGCCAUCCCAGUUCGGAUUGCAGGCUGCAACCCGCCUGUAUGAAGUUGGAAUCGCUAGUAAUCGCGGAUCAGCAUGCCGCGGUGAAUACGUUCCCGGGCCUUGUACACACCGCCCGUCACACCAUGAGAGUCGGGAACACCCGAAGUCCGUAGCCUAACCGCAAGGGGGGCGCGGCCGAAGGUGGGUUCGAUAAUUGGGGUGAAGUCGUAACAAGGUAAC
rnacentral:rRNA from 1 species